rfam:Gorilla gorilla gorilla genomic chromosome, chr2B, whole genome shotgun sequence
GAUAAGCUUGGUGCAAAAGUGAUUGCGGUUUUUGCCAUUGAAAAUAAUGGCAAAAACCGCAAUCACUUUUGCACCAAGCUAAUA